rnacentral:rRNA from 1 species
UUGCCCCAGUAACGGCGAGUGAAGCGGCAACAGCCUCAAAUUUGAAAUCUGGCCUCCCGGCCCGAGUUGUACUUUGCAGAGGACGCUUCUGGCGCGGUGCCUUCCAAGUCCCCUGGAACGGGGCGCCGAAGAGGGUGAGAGCCCCGUACGGUCGGCCGCCAAGCCUAUGCGAAGCUCCUUCGACGAGUCGAGUAGUUUGGGAAUGCUGCUCUAAGCGGGAGGUAGACCCCUUCUAAAGCUAAAUACCGGCCAGAGACCGAUAGCGCACAAGUAGAGUGAUCGAAAGAUGAAAAGCACUUUGAAAAGAGGGUUAAACAGCACGUGAAAUUGUUGAAAGGGAAGCGCUCGUGCCCAGACGUGCGCUGGGGCGAUCAUCCGGCGUUCUCGCCGGUGCACUCGCCCCGGCGCAGGCCAGCGUCGGCUCGGGCGGGAGGACAAAGGUGCCCGGCAUGUGGCCCCCUCGGGGUGUUAUAGCCGGGCGCGCCAUGCUCCCGCCUGGGCCGAGGUCCGCGCUCUGCAAGGACGCUGGCGUAAUGGGCACCAGCGGCCCGUCUUGAAACACGGACCAGGGAGUCGAGGUCUUGCGCGAGUGUCUGGGUGCUAAACCCGCACGCGCAAUGAAAGUGAACGCAGGUGGGAGCUUCGGCGCACCACCGACCGAUCCUGAUGUUCUCGGAUGGAUUUGAGUAGGAGCGUGGGGCCUCGGACCCGAAAGAUGGUGAACUAUGCUUGGAUAGGGUGAAGCCAGAGGAACUCUGGUGGAGGUCGCAGCGGUUCUGACGUGCAAAUCGAUCGUAAAUCUGAGCAUGGGGCGAAAGACUAAUCGAACAUCUAGAGCUGGUACGCG